rnacentral:rRNA from 1 species
AUACGGAGGAUCCGAGCGUUAUCCGGAUUUAUUGGGUUUAAAGGGAGCGUAGGUGGACAGUUAAGUCAGUUGUGAAAGUUUGCGGCUCAACCGUAAAAUUGCAGUUGAUACUGGCUGUCUUGAGUACAGUAGAGGUGGGCGGAAUUCGUGGUGUAGCGGUGAAAUGCUUAGAUAUCACGAAGAACUCCGAUUGCGAAGGCAGAUCACUGGACUGCAACUGACACUGAUGCUCGAAAGUGUGGGUAUCAAACAGGAUUAGAUACCCUGGUAGUCCACACAGUAAACGAUGAAUACUCGCUGUUUGCGAUAUACAGUAAGCGGCCAAGCGAAAGCAUUAAGUAUUCCACCUGGGGAGUACGCCGGCAACGGUGAAACUCAAAGGAAUUGACGGGG